GGUAGGAAUCCCUUUCCAAACAACUUUACAAGAUGCUGGCCACAUACAAUGAGAUGACAGAAGGAAGAGAGACACUAUUCCUGCCUCACAAGGCCUUCAGUCUAAUGGUGAGAUGAGAAGAUAGACAAUGACAAUGACUGCAAGAAAGUUUCCUGAGGAAGCUGAGUCUAUGCUUAGCCCUGAAGGACAAGCAGGACUUCUGAGGUGCGUGAUUUGGACCUUUCCAAAAAAGAAGGCUAGAAGACUGUGCUACUUUAACAAUAGAAGGAAGGACACCUACAACUGGACUAGAGAGUCCAAGCUGAAAGUGUUUCUACUGUGGCAACAGUUCCAAACCCAUCAUGGUCUCCCAUGUAUGUCAAGAGUAUUCCCUGAAUUAAACAAUAGAGUUCUCCACUGAUUCUUCUUGAGUAAGUUCAUCUCUAUUCCUGGCUUCUUCUGAAAUGAUUGAGUGGCUCCAUGAGUGGCAGGGCUAAUCUCUUCAAUAAAAGGUUGUCCAGCUAUACCCUUGGCCUUCUCUACAGAGCACAUUUUCUGAACAGUGAAUUCUCUAAUUUUAGCAUUCUUUGUAAUCUGAUAGAUUGGGAACUUCCCAAGCUAUCAGAUGUUUAUUAUUUUUGCUUAAAAUUUUCUUUUUUU